rnacentral:rRNA from 1 species
UACAGAGACUGCAAGCGUUAUUCGGAUUCACUGGGCGUAAAGGGUGCGCAGGCGGCCAAGUGUGUGAGGCGUGAAAGCCCGGGGCUUAACCCCGGAAUUGCACCUCAAACUACAUGGCUAGAGCAUUGGAGAGGGUAGCAGAAUUCAUGGUGUAGCAGUGAAAUGCGUAGAUAUCAUGAGGAAUACCAGAGGCGAAGGCGGCUACCUGGACAGAUACCGACGCUGAGGCACGAAAGCUAGGGGAGCAAACAGG